AAAUUGAAGAGUUUGAUCAUGGCUCAGAUUGAACGCUGGCGGCAGGCCUAACACAUGCAAGUCGAACGGUAACAGGAAGCAGCUUGCUGCUUUGCUGACGAGUGGCGGACGGGUGAGUAAUGUCUGGGAAACUGCCUGAUGGAGGGGGAUAACUACUGGAAACGGUGGCUAAUACCGCAUAACGUCGCAAGACCAAAGAGGGGGACCUUCGGGCCUCUUGCCAUCAGAUGUGCCCAGAUGGGAUUAGCUGGUUGGUGAGGUAACGGCUCACCAAGGCGACGAUCCCUAGCUGGUCUGAGAGGAUGACCAGCCACACUGGAACUGAGACACGGUCCAGACUCCUACGGGAGGCAGCAGUGGGGAAUAUUGCACAAUGGGCGCAAGCCUGAUGCAGCCAUGCCGCGUGUAUGAAGAAGGCCUUCGGGUUGUAAAGUACUUUCAGCGGGGAGGAAGGUGUUGUGGUUAAUAACCGCAGCAAUUGACGUUACCCGCAGAAGAAGCACCGGCUAACUCCGUGCCAGCAGCCGCGGUAAUACGGAGGGUGCAAGCGUUAAUCGGAAUUACUGGGCGUAAAGCGCACGCAGGCGGUCUGUCAAGUCGGAUGUGAAAUCCCCGGGCUCAACCUGGGAACUGCAUUCGAAACUGGCAGGCUUGAGUCUUGUAGAGGGGGGUAGAAUUCCAGGUGUAGCGGUGAAAUGCGUAGAGAUCUGGAGGAAUACCGGUGGCGAAGGCGGCCCCCUGGACAAAGACUGACGCUCAGGUGCGAAAGCGUGGGGAGCAAACAGGAUUAGAUACCCUGGUAGUCCACGCCGUAAACGAUGUCUACUUGGAGGUUGUGCCCUUGAGGCGUGGCUUCCGGAGCUAACGCGUUAAGUAGACCGCCUGGGGAGUACGGCCGCAAGGUUAAAACUCAAAUGAAUUGACGGGGGCCCGCACAAGCGGUGGAGCAUGUGGUUUAAUUCGAUGCAACGCGAAGAACCUUACCUGGUCUUGACAUCCACAGAACUUUCCAGAGAUGGAUUGGUGCCUUCGGGAACUGUGAGACAGGUGCUGCAUGGCUGUCGUCAGCUCGUGUUGUGAAAUGUUGGGUUAAGUCCCGCAACGAGCGCAACCCUUAUCCUUUGUUGCCAGCGGUCCGGCCGGGAACUCAAAGGAGACUGCCAGUGAUAAACUGGAGGAAGGUGGGGAUGACGUCAAGUCAUCAUGGCCCUUACGACCAGGGCUACACACGUGCUACAAUGGCGCAUACAAAGAGAAGCGACCUCGCGAGAGCAAGCGGACCUCAUAAAGUGCGUCGUAGUCCGGAUUGGAGUCUGCAACUCGACUCCAUGAAGUCGGAAUCGCUAGUAAUCGUGGAUCAGAAUGCCACGGUGAAUACGUUCCCGGGCCUUGUACACACCGCCCGUCACACCAUGGGAGUGGGUUGCAAAAGAAGUAGGUAGCUUAACCUUCGGGAGGGCGCUUACCACUUUGUGAUUCAUGACUGGGGUGAAGUCGUAACAAGGUAACCGUAGGGGAACCUGCGGUUGGAUCACCUCCUUACCUUAAAGAA
rnacentral:rRNA from 2 species